rnacentral:rRNA from 1 species
UACAGAGGGUGCGAGCGUUAAUCGGAAUUACUGGGCGUAAAGCGCGCGUAGGCGGCUUUGCAAGUCGGGUGUGAAAUCCCCAGGCUUAACCUGGGAACUGCAUUCGAGACUGCAUUGCUAGAGUAUGGGAGAGGGAAGUGGAAUUUCCGGUGUAGCGGUGAAAUGCGUAGAUAUCGGAAGGAACAUCAGUGGCGAAAGCGACUUCCUGGACCAAUACUGACGCUGAUGUGCGAAAGCGUGGGGAGCAAACAGG